GACGAACGCUGGCGGCGUGCUUAACACAUGCAAGUCGAACGGAAAGGCCCUGCUUUUGUGGGGUGCUCGAGUGGCGAACGGGUGAGUAACACGUGAGUAACCUGCCCUUGACUUUGGGAUAACUUCAGGAAACUGGGGCUAAUACCGGAUAGGAGCUCCUGCUGCAUGGUGGGGGUGGGAAAGUUUCGGCGGUUGGGGAUGGACUCGCGGCUUAUCAGCUUGUUGGUGGGGUAGUGGCUUACCAAGGCUUUGACGGGUAGCCGGCCUGAGAGGGUGACCGGCCACAUUGGGACUGAGGUACGGCCCAGACUCCUACGGGAGGCAGCAGUGGGGAAUAUUGCACAAUGGGCGGAAGCCUGAUGCAGCAACGCCGCGUGCGGGAUGACGGCCUUCGGGUUGUAAACCGCUUUCGCCUGUGACGAAGCGUGAGUGACGGUAAUGGGUAAAGAAGCACCGGCUAACUACGUG
rnacentral:rRNA from 1 species